rnacentral:rRNA from 1 species
ACGUGAUCUGAGUUCAGACCGGAGCAAUCCAGGUCAGUUUCUAUCUAUAAAGAGCUUCUUCUAGUACGAAAGGACCAAAAAAGCAUGGCCUAUACUUCGAGCAAGCCAUCGUGAGUAAUUUAUGCCUCAAACUUAACAAACAACUCACCUUCUACUAACCUCUAAACAAGAGA